UAAUACGUAGGUGGCAAGCGUUGUCCGGAUUUACUGGGCGUAAAGGGCGUGCAGGCGGUCUGUUAAGUCUAGGGUGAAAGCUCCCGGCUCAACUGGGAGAGGUCCUUGGAUACUGGCAGACUUGAGGAGAGUAGAGGAGAGUGGAAUUCCCGGUGUAGUGGUGAUAUGCGUAGAUAUCGGGAGGAACACCAGUGGCGAAGGCGGCUCUCUGGGCUCUACCUGACGCUGAGACGCGAAAGCGUGGGGAGCGAACCGGAUUAGAUACCCGGGUAGUCCACGCCGUAAACUAUGGACACUAGGUGUGGGGGGUAUCGACCCCUUCCGUGCCGAAGCUAACGCAGUAAGUGUCCCGCCUGGGGAGUACGGCCGCAAGGCUA
rnacentral:rRNA from 1 species